rnacentral:lncRNA from 1 species
ACCUGGAGAACAAGGGAGUACUUUACAAAUGGCAAGUUUUGAUAAUCAAGCGCCCACCUGCAGAAUAAGGGAAUAUUUUUUAAAUUUAAAGUUUUGGUUAUCAGGCGCCCACCUGAACAACAAGGGAAUCUUUUUCAAAUUUCAAGCUUUGGUAAUCAAGCACCCACCUGCAGAACAAGGGAAUACAUUUCAAAUUUUUUGGUAAUCAGGCGCCCAUCUAGAUAACAAGGGAAUACAUUUCAAAUUACAAGUUUUGGCAAUCAGGCACCCACCUGCAGAACAAGGGAAUACAUUUCAAAUUUUAAGUUUUGGUAAUCAGGCCCCCACCUGCAGAACAAGGGAAUACCUUUUCAAAUUUUGGAGUCAUGGAAAUCAGGCACCCACCUGCUGAACCAGAGAAUACAUUUUAGAUUUCAAUCUUUGGUAAUCAGGCAGCCACAUGUAGAAUAAGGAACGCAUUUAAAAUUUGAAGCUUUGGUAAUCAGGAGGCCACCUAUUGAACAAGAGAAUACAUUUCAAAUUUAAAGUUUUGGUAAUUACGCGCCCACCUGGAGAACAAGAGAGUACUUUUCAAAUUUCAAGCUAUGGCAAUCAGGCACCCACCUGCAGAACAAGGGAAUACAUUUCAAAUAUUUUGUAGUCAGGCGGCCACCUGGAGAACAAGUGAGUACUUUUCAAAUUACAAGUUUUGGUAAUCAAGCGCCCACCUGCAGAACAAGGGAAUACUUUUCAAAUUUCAAAUUUUGGUAAUAAGGCGCCCACCUGGAGAACAAUGGGAAUACUUUUCAAGUUGCAAGUAUUGGUAAUCAGGCACCCACCUGGAGAAGAAGGGAAUAUUUUUCAAAUUUUAUGUCUUGGUAAUCAGGCACCCACCUCUAGAACAAGGGAAUACAUUUUAGAUUUCAUGUUUUGGUAAUCAAGCACCCACCUGUGGAACAAGGGAAUGCAUUUCAAGUCUAACAAUUCAACAUCAAGCAUAGAAGAAGAGAAAACCAGAAGUUUUACAGGAAGAAAUACAAGUCAACAAGGCAACAAGAAGUUUAGAGGAAGAAAUACAAGGCAACAAAGAAAUAAGGAUCAAGAGAAAGUCUCAAGAUAUAGAUAGGUUCUUUUGUAACUCAUAGUUCAUAGCUUAGUCUAGCUUCUUUUUAUCUUCACAAGGUGUACUAAGGGGGUCUAACAAUAGUAGACAUAGCAGCAGCAACAACGAGAUCACAACUUCGGUAGUCUCAGCUACCAAACACUCCUGAACUACACUGGAUUGAUUCCUCUUUAUCUGAGAAUAUGUAGGAAAUCUCUGAAGUAGGGUGCGGUCAAGCUUUUCAAAAUGCUUCUCAUGGAGUAUUCAACAAACAAAAAUCGCUCAUGUCAGCUCACUUCUUUAUGCGAAAACUCUUAGCAUUUCCGAGAAAAGAGGGGAAGUUGUGAGCAUGUGAUUUUCUCCUAUAUAAAUUACUCCGAUAAAUCCUAAAAAAAUCAAUUUUUUGUUUAUUUGCAAUUUUGGGGAUUUUUCGUGGCAUUUUCUGUUAAUGUUCUACAUUCGUUCGUGCAUAUUUAUUUUAUCUUAAUUAAUCAAAAAUAAAAAAAUAUGUGGCAUGCGCAUUUAGGAGUUAAUUCUGCAUUUGAAAGAAUUAUUAAGUAAUUGGUUCAUUUUAUAAAAAAAGGAAGAAAUUCAAAAAUAUUCAAUUUGCACUUUAAUUCUAAUUUUGAUAUCUAAGUGAUUUUCAUUCUUUAAUUGUGUGUUAACUAAUUGUGAUAAUUAUUAUUUAUGAUUAAUUAGCACCUCUUAUAGGUCAAAUUGUGCAUUUCAUUUUAUUAAUUUAGGAUUUUUAAAUUACUUUUGAAAAUGAAAAACAAAAAAAAGGGUAAGAAAAUUAAAUCUGAAUAAAUAAAGAAAUAAGGAGAGAAAACAUAUUUGGAUCAGUCUUCAUAAUCCUCUCAGCCCAAAUGGAUCUCCAGCCUAAUACACUACCCAUACUCGGUCCCUGACCCAGCCCAGCCCCACCGGCUACCAAACGACGCCGUUUACCCCUUAAGUAAUCUUGGUCGUCGAGGAUUUUUGAACUAACGACCAGGAACUCGGGGUUCCUCACUAUAUAACUGUCCAAACCCCACCCACCCCCAAAUACAGCCCAUCCCAAACCCCUCACUAUCGGAGCCCUAGCACCACCCCACAUCCGCCACUACUUCGCUGAAUGCCGCCGGCGGCAGUGAUGCUCUGAUGACUCCCAAAAUUACACCACCCCCUCCUCGACCUCCUCUUUCCAUUUCUCCCUUUGGUUUCCUUGGAAUAGCAGCCAAACUCGUCAAAUAUUCAUUUGAAUAGAUAGCUCCUCUGCCUCCCAUAGCGGCGUCGACGCCGACGUCGACGCCAAACGACUCCAAAUUUACACCAUGGACUCCCCUCACCUUACCCAGUCCGAAUCCCCAACCUAUCUUUUAUGAAUCAACCCAAUACUUAUCGAAUUUAAGAUUGAAAUAGGACCCCUAAAUCCUAGCAUACCCAAUUAGUCUCAAAUUAACGCUAAACGACUCCUGACUUCCUCUGAUCCCAAAUUCGUGUCCUAUUCCUUCCAAACAACCAUAAAACUAGUCGAAUAUCAUUUAAAGGAUUUGACCCAGCCGAUGCAUGAAGAUGCUCAGGGUUCAGUACAUUUUUUUUAAAAGAAAAGAGCUAACUAUUCUAUUUCUUUUGCUCUUUGUUGUAUAUUUCGUCUGCUUCAUCUCCUUUCUGUCAACUUGUUUAGUUAUGUUUAAAUAAUUGGGUAUCGGUUUAUUUUGUUUUCAGAGUAUAAUUAAGCUAAUUAGGGUUGUUUUGAUUAAUCGUAUUAUGCUUUUGAAUUAGGUUCAAUUGGAAUUUAGUCAAAUAGCGCCACAUCUUAGUUUGAAUAAAUGACUUUGGGUUAAUUGAAUCUCAUCUUGUUCAAUCAGUCAUGGUUCACGUUGGCAUUUUGUUGCAUGAUUGUCAUCUGUAGCCUUUAAAUUUUCAGUAGUCUAUCAUUCGAUCUAGGUUAAGAUUGUUAAAUCAACCAUUGGAAAAUAAUACAAGUAAGUGUAUAUAGUUCAGGGACAAUUCUGAUUUUUGAGGGCAUUGAUUGAUAAUAUUUGUCGCAUUUGCAAUUUUGUUUGCUUGAGAUCAUUUGAAAUUUCAGAAUAUAAGUUGUCGAAGGGUCAAAAGUAAAUAGUAGGGCUCGUAAGGGUUAGUUUAGUAAUUAUAGAUUGGGAAAUCUUUCAUAAUUGACCUGGAAGCUUCUAGUAAAGAUUUUUUUGCUAAUUUUUAUUUUACAACUUAGUUAACAAGUUUAAAAUGAGGGGCCAAGUUGAAAUAACCAAGCUGUAGGGCAGCCCUAUUUUAUCUUGCCUAUAAAGGCCCUCCUUCCGGCUCUAGAUUUUAUAGAUUGGCGGACCUUAAUAAAUUAGAGAGAUAAAAAUACAGAGGUUAUACAUUCUGAAAAUUGGAGAGAUUGGAAGAGCUGAAAACUAAAAAUAUACAAAAAAGAGUUAUACUGAUUUUACUGUUUCAUCUAUUUUGCAUCUAUUUUUGACUUUUGUUUAAUUCCUGGAGCUAUUUUUGAAUUAUUUGGUUUUAAAGUUCUUCAAAUCUGGUUUAUGUUUGCAGGCGUACUUUAAGUGUGAAGUUGGUUUUGGACUGUCUCAUACCAUUUUCUGAUUUCAAAGUUGAUCGUAGAUUGGUGUUUGCUUGCUAUUGCUACUACUGAAUCUUACCCCUUCUAUUCUACUUCCAGGUAUAUUUUUGAACUAUUAUUUGUCAAUGCUGUGUUACAAGUUUGAAGUCGAUUGAAUCCCUGUGACGAUCCAAUUACACGAGUGUGAAUUCAAGUGGAUGUGUUAGCCCUAGCUGUAGCAUGAUAGAUUCUAUUACGUUAAAUUUUUUGUUUACCAUAUCUAUUACUUAACUUUAAUGAAUUGGUUUAUUUGGUCAUGAUCUAUGGUUCAAAUGUGAUGAUCCAUUAGAAUAGAUGUUUGGAUGCAUAGUUCCUAUAAUAUUAAAUGAAAAUUUCGUAUGUAAAUGGAUUGUUAAGAAUGUUAUGAGGACUGACCACCUGAAUAUCCCAGCUUAUUUGUUUUCUAUAGUUUAGAGUUAGGAUUUGGGUAUGAAGAAGUUUUGGUAACGAUAGAAUCCGGUACAACAUGAUUUGAAUAUGGAUUUUCAAAAUUGUGAUUUAAUUAAUUCAUGCAUGCUUAUAUUUGUUUCAGCUAAACGUAAAGUUAGUUUUUGUUUUGGUGUUCAUUGUAAAUAUGGUUUGAAAUCAAAAAUGCACUUUGUUCAUGCGUAUGGAUAAUUAAUUCUAGUUUAGAAUUUGAAUAAUAUUUGGAAGUAUUGUGGUCAUGAUUGUUGUUGAAAUAAUUUGGAUCAUAAAAUUCGGCUAUAGCAUGUGGCCCAAUAACUGUAAGGGUGCACAUUAAUGCAUCUGCUUCUUCUGGGCUUCUGGUAGACCCAUUUAUCCUUUUGUGCGUGUGGUCGUCUAAGCCUGUUAUUUGGGUCUUUUGGAGACUUUAGACCAAAAGUCCACUUGAGUUGAAAUUACUAGCUUCAUCAGUUGGGCCAUUACAAGUGGCCCCAGAAAUUUUAGCAUGGACAACCCUAUCUUGUUGUUGGUCUCUCGAUUGGGCCCAAAUGAGGUAGCCUUUAUUCUUUAAAUCAUCAGCUCGAUUGUGAGCUAAAUUGAAUCCUUUGCUUUACUUUAUUAACAUUCUCUCGUAAGUUAUACAUAGAAUUUCUACCUAGUCUAGAGACCUUUAAGUAGAGUAAAUUGAGGUGCGCCGCAUCAAACGGAAAUCGCAAAUAUGUGGCCUCGCUUAAGUUAAAUACUUAAAAUAUAUAGAACUCGAGGUGCACCACUUAGUGAAUUUUUGUGGCCCUCGUAGACUCAAACAUGAAAUUGAUUUAGGCGCGUUAUUAAAAUAAUGUAUCUUCUUAAACUCGAGUGCAUAUUUAUGUGACCCAAAUCUAAAUCCCAAUGAUAUUAAAAUAUGCCAAAAAUCACGGGUGCAUUUAUGUGACAUGGAUCGAGAUGUGUUUUAAUAACGUUGCAAUUUUCUUUAAAAAUAAUAAUAAUAAUAACGGUUAAAAGUCAAAUUGGCACAUAGGUACAAAUGGAUUAAAACCAGAUAAUCAGGCCAAAUAUAAUAGGUGAGCGACCGUUCUAGAACCACGGAACUCGGGAGUGCCUAACACCUUCUCCCAGGUUAACAAAAUUCCUUACCAGGAAUUCUGGCUCGCAGACUGUAUACAGAGUAAAACCUUCCUCGAUUCGGGAUUUACCGGUAACUUGGGGCACCAUAAAUCAUCCCAAGUGGUGACUCUGUAAUCUCUUAAAUAAAUAAAUCCCUCUUCGAUUGUCCUUUAAUUGUACAAACUCCCUUAGAUACGACCUUCGCGGGGUUGCAGUGUAAAAAAGGAGGUGUGACAGCUUGUAAUAGGUCGGAUUACAAGUUAGUGAAUUGAAAAGCCUACAGGUGUAGGUCAUUUUUUGAUCCCCUUGUGCGGGAUUUUUCCACGUAAAAAACCUCUACCUCAUUUACUUACAGCUUUACUAAGUGGUCUCAGCAGAAACUUGUAUAGGACCAGGUACUCUACGAUUUGUUGGACCAUACAAACUAAUAGAUAGGUUGCCUCAUUUGAGACCUGUUCCUCAAUCACAAUUUAUUCUUACUUUGCGGAAUUCAAUAUCAACACAAUACCACCAUAUGUGGGGAAUGACGUCCGAUUACGGCCCGACCAGAAUAAUUCUAUCUCAGAUCCUGACAUCGUUGCGGCACCCGGAUGAAUAGAAUACCGCGAGCUAUGCGCCUCCUCUAGAAUCAACUCUCGAAGCCCAUCUACAUUAGGUACACAUAUCCGGCCCUGCAUACUCAACACCCCAUCAUCACCAAUAGUCAUAUAUCUGGCAUCAUCAUACCAAACUCUAUCCGUAAGUACAAGCAAAUGAGGAUCAUCAUAUUAAUGCUCUCUGAUACGAUCAUAUAACGAAGACCGAGAAAUCACACGAGCCAAUACCCGAUUGGGCUAUGAAAUAUAUAACCUCACAAACCAAUUGUCCAAGGAAUGAACAUCAAUUACAAGAGGUUUCUCUCUAACUGGAAUAUAUGCCAACUCCCCAUAUUCAUUGCCCUUCGGCUCAAAGCAUCAGCCACCAUAUUCGCUUUCCCCCGAUGGUACAAAAUAGUGAUAUCAUAAUCCAUUAGAUACUCCAAACAUCUCCACUGCCUCUAAUUGAAAUCCUUCUGCUUGAACAAGUGCUAGAGGCUAUAAUGAUCACUAAACACCUCACGAGACACACCAUACAAAUAAUGCCUGUCACACCUUCUUUUUCUUACAUCCACACGAAGGGUGUAAAAGGAAGAUUUUCAAAUUAUUGUGACAAUCGAAACAAGAUUUAUUUAUUUAAAGAUUCGGAGUCGCCACUUGGGAUAAUUUAUGGUGUCCCAAGUCACUAGUUGAAUCCCAAACCAGAAAUCUGGGUAAGGAAUUCUGUUAAACUGGGAGAAGGGGUUAGGAAUUCCCGAGUUCCGUGGUUCUAGCACGAUCGUUCGACUGUUAUUAUUAGCCUAUUAUAUGAUUUUAAUACAUGUUUUAGCCUAUGGUUAAAUUUUAACUUUAACAACUACAUUUAAUUAUUUUUAAGGAAAAUUGAAAUGCAAUUUAAAAUAUGUCUUGAACCACAUCACAUAAAUGCACACGCGGCUAUCGACAUAUUUUAUCUAACUUUAUUGAGAUUUAGAUUUGGGUCACAUAAAUGCGCGCUCGAGUUUAGGAAAGUAAAUUAUUGCAUGCCUAAGGCAACCACAAUUUUUCACAAAUUUCUUAUCCUAAAAAAAUAUUGAGGUUAUAUAAAUUAACAAGAACAAAGUUUUAAUCUAUCUUGCUACUUCAUUUCUUCUAUAACAACACUUUCAGCCAACAAAAUUAGAAUGACGCGGGAGAACCUGUUUAUUUAGAAAGAAUGUAGGUAACUAAAAAUGAUAAUCACAUUGUCAUACUAGUAUUUCAAUCAAACUUCAAAUACACUUCCCCUGAAACAUUCAACAUGAACUAAUGUCACACAGAACUUUCAGCAACCAUUCAUCACUUAUUAGAACAAGAUUCUCAAAUCAUAAACUAAGAGAUCUUUAAAUUAAAACCAAUACAAGCACACAAAAAGUUGUACAGUGGGUCAUUCAAAUAUACUCAAAUUAAAUACUAGGCGCAUGUAAUGUAUUAACAAGAGUAAGUAGCGAUAAUAAAAUGUGACCUUUAUUGUUGUGCUUUCUUUAGCGUAUACAAUGAGAGAAGCCUCCGAUACAACGAACCGACAAGAGAGCUAAUGACCUGAGCCUCGAACCGACAACUGAGCCUCGAACGGACGGCGACGACUUCGACAACUCGAUGACUGAAAACGUCUCACUUGCUGUCACUGUUUCAGCUGUAUUUCUGUCAUGGAAGUAGCAGAACUGAGAGGGUGGAACGGUAGCUCUAUGUGUGCCUUUCGGUUUCAAUGGUGGUAGCUGGUGACGUAGUGCAUCUGGUUUCCGACGAACAACAGCUAAUUUGAGUUGUUUGGUCACUGGAUUUGUUUGGGAAUUAGGAGGAGGUCUAAAGUUGCGAAAAUGGUGAAGAAGCAGAACCAAACCGAUAGGGGUCGUUUCAAUGUGUCGCAACUCAAGGGUUUUAAGGUGGAGGAGCUUCAAAGGAGUUUUAUUGCUAUCUCCAUGAAGAAGACGAUGGAGAAGCUAUGUAAGGGGGUCUGUUUAUUGCGGCUGCUUUCUCCCAGAGUGUCUCCUUCUCCUGUGUAGCCUCCUUGGUCUUUCUUGCUUAAGAAGAGGCCAUGAAUCUGACUUUCUUCUCUGAAGAGAUCAAAAUGAUGGAGUGGAGUUUUUUCUUUUUUGCACUAUUGCGGCUCUUCAGAUUUCUUCAGGCGUCAUUUUUUGUUCUCCUUUUAUCGUAGAGUCUAG